GAGAGUUUGAUCCUGGCUCAGGACGAACGUGGCGGCGUGCCUAACACAUGCAAGUCGAGCGAUGAAGCUUCCUUCGGGGAGUGGAUUAGCGGCGGACGGGUGAGUAACACGUGGGUAACCUGCCUCAAAGAGGGGGAUAGCCUCCCGAAAGGGAGAUUAAUACCGCAUAACAUUAUUUUAUGGCAUCAUAGAAUAAUCAAAGGAGCAAUCCGCUUUGAUUAUGGACCCGCGUCGCAUUAGCUAGUUGGUGAGGUAACGGCUCACCAAGGCAACGAUGCGUAGCCGACCUGAGAGGGUGAUCGGCCACAUUGGAACUGAGACACGGUCCAGACUCCUACGGGAGGCAGCAGUGGGGAAUAUUGCGCAAUGGGGGAAACCCUGACGCAGCAACGCCGCGUGAGUGAUGAAGGUUUUCGGAUCGUAAAACUCUGUCUUUAGGGACGAUAAUGACGGUACCUAAGGAGGAAGCCACGGCUAACUACGUGCCAGCAGCCGCGGUAAUACGUAGGUGGCAAGCGUUGUCCGGAUUUACUGGGCGUAAAGAGUAUGUAGGUGGGUGCUUAAGUCAGAUGUGAAAUUCCCGGGCUUAACCUGGGCGCUGCAUUUGAAACUGGGCAUCUAGAGUGCAGGAGAGGAAAGUGGAAUUCCUAGUGUAGCGGUGAAAUGCGUAGAGAUUAGGAAGAACACCAGUGGCGAAGGCGACUUUCUGGACUGUAACUGACACUGAGAUACGAAAGCGUGGGUAGCAAACAGGAUUAGAUCCCCCUGGUAGUCCACGCCGUAAACGAUGAAUACUAGGUGUCGGGGGGUACCACCCUCGGUGCCGCAGCAAACGCAUUAAGUAUUCCGCCUGGGGAGUACGGUCGCAAGAUUAAAACUCAAAGGAAUUGACGGGGACCCGCACAAGCAGCGGAGCAUGUGGUUUAAUUCGAAGCAACGCGAAGAACCUUACCUAGACUUGACAUCUCCUGAAUUACUCUUAAUCGAGGAAGUCCCUUCGGGGGACAGGAAGACAGGUGGUGCAUGGUUGUCGUCAGCUCGUGUCGUGAGAUGUUGGGUUAAGUCCCGCAACGAGCGCAACCCUUAUUGUUAGUUGCUACUAUUAAGUUAAGCACUCUAACGAGACUGCCGCGGUUAACGUAGAGGAAGGUGGGGAUGACGUCAAAUCAUCAUGCCCCUUAUGUCUAGGGCUACACACGUGCUACAAUGGCUGGUACAACGAGCAGCAAACCCGCGAGGGGGAGCAAAACUUGAAAGCCAGUCCCAGUUCGGAUUGUAGGCUGAAACUCGCCUACAUGAAGUUGGAGUUGCUAGUAAUCGCGGAAUCAGCAUGUCGCGGUGAAUACGUCCCCGGGUCUUGUACACACCGCCCGUCACACCAUGAGAGCCGGUAACACCCGAAGCCCGUGAGGUAACCGUAAGGAGCCAGCGGUCGAAGGUGGGAUUGGUGAUUGGGGUGAAGUCGUAACAAGGUAGCCGUAGGAGAACCUGCGGUUGGAUCACCUCCUU
rnacentral:rRNA from 1 species